AGUGGACGCUGGCGGCGUGCUUAACACAUGCGAGUCGAACGAGAACGGAUUAUAGCUUGCUAUAAUUGUCAGCUAAGUGGCGCACGGGUGAGUAAUGUAUAGGUAAUAUGCCUCUUACUAAGGGAUAACAAAUGGAAAUGUUUGCUAAUACCUUAUACUCCUUAUUAACAGAAGUUAAUAAGGGAAAGAUUUAUUGGUAAGAGAUUAGCCUGUAUUGUAUCAGUUAGUUGGUGGGGUAAUGGCUUACCAAGACUAUGACACAUAACUGGUUUGAGAGGAUGAUCAGUCACACUGGAACUGAGACACGGUCCAGACUCCUACGGGAGGCAGCAGUGGGGAAUAUUGCACAAUGGACGAAAGUCUGAUGCAGCAACGCCGCGUGGAGGAUGACACAUUUCGGUGCGUAAACUCCUUUUAUAUGAGAAGAUAAUGACGGUAUUAUAUGAAUAAGCACCGGCUAACUCCGUGCCAGCCGCCGCAGUAAUAC
rnacentral:rRNA from 1 species